GACGAACGCUGGCGGCGUGCUUAACACAUGCAAGUCGAACGGAAAGGCCCUGCUUUUGUGGGGUGCUCGAGUGGCGAACGGGUGAGUAACACGUGAGUAACCUGCCCUUGACUUUGGGAUAACUUCAGUAAACUGGGGCUAAUACCGGAUAGGAGCUCCUGCUGCAUGGUGGGGGUUGGAAAGUUUCGGCGGUUGGGGAUGGACUCGCGGCUUAUCAGCUUGUUGGUGGGGUAGUGGCUUACCAAGGCUUUGACGGGUAGCCGGCCUGAGAGGGUGACCGGCCACAUUGGGACUGAGAUACGGCCCAGACUCCUACGGGAGGCAGCAGUGGGGAAUAUUGCACAAUGGGCGGAAGCCUGAUGCAGCAACGCCGCGUGUGGGAUGACGGCCUUCGGGUUGUAAACCGCUUUCGCCUGUGACGAAGCGUGAGUGACGGUAAUGGGUAAAGAAGCACCGGCUAACUACGUG
rnacentral:rRNA from 1 species